GCGCCGAGCCGAGCCGGGACCGGCCCCGCUGGGUCGCGGAGGGGCCUGGACCGUGGGCCAGCCGAGCUUCCAGGCAGGCCUCCGCCGCUCCGCGCCUGGCCCGGGCGAAGCUUCUGGGCCCCGGAAGGCUGGAGUUAAGAAGGAAGAAGGGGGGGGGGUCGCCUCAAAAUAUGCCCCGGGAUUUGCAUUUCACGGAAUUAAAGCUGCAUUUUGCAUCCCGUUGUGUAAAGCCAUGAAAGACGUCCGAGAUGAGCGUUGGAUUGUGCUUUUACUCACGGAGUUGAUUCUGUGCACACAGAUUUGCAAAGGAACAAUGGAAUGAAGAGCUUUUUCUCAACUGUAUGUUUAUUUUAUAGCAUUUUUUGCUGUGAAGAAAAGGCAUUUUUACCUGCAGACACAAAAUUCAGUUUUGAGAAUCUGUGAUAGUAUCUUCUAGACAGAACAACUGCCCAAUGAUCUUUCAGAAACCUCUGGAAAAGCAUGAUAUUGAGAAUGGAAUUCAUGUACCAAAAAAUAUAAACAUCCAUGCUACGUAAUUAAAAAUGAGUCCUCCUUUUAUGAAUAAAUGUACCAUGAAUAGAAAACUA